rnacentral:rRNA from 1 species
AGCACCCGCGGUAAUUCCAGCUCCAAUAGCGUAUAUUAAAGUUGUUGCAGUUAAAAAGCUCGUAGUUGAAUUUCGGGAUUUGUCAGUUGGUCGGGCUUCACUGUCCGUAUUGACUUGAUGGAUUCUUACCUUCUGAAUAACCAGCAUGCUAUUAAGUUAGUGCGUUGGGGAAGCAGAUCUAUUACCUUGAAAAAAUUAGAGUGCUUAAAGCGAGCUAGUGCUUGAAUAGAUUAGCAUGGAAUAAUAAAAUAGGACGGCAUGGUUCUAUUUUGUUGGUUUCUAGGAUCACCGUAAUGAUUAAUAGGGAUAGUUGGGGGCAUUAGUAUUCAAUUGUCAGAGGUGAAAUUCUUGGAUUUAUUGAAGACUAACUUCUGCGAAAGCAUUUGCCAAGGAUGUUUUCAUUAAUCAAGAACGAAAGUUAGGGGAUCGAAGACGAUCAGAUACCGUCGUAGUCUUAACCAUAAACUAUGCCGACUAGGAAUCGGACGAUGUUAAUUUUAUAAUGACUCGUUCGGCACCU